UUUUAGCCCUGAUGGUAGUGACAUCCUUUUCUUGCAUUCUUUAGGCAAGGAAAGAUAUAACGAACAGCAGGAAUAGCU
rnacentral:sRNA from 1 species